AAAAAUCUAAGAGCUGAAGCGCUGAACCUAUCCUUCGCGCUUCGUAAGCUGUAAAAAUUUUAUCGUCUUCUCCGAAGCCGAGCGAGCCAAAACGACGAUCUCAUCACUCUCUUCUGUUUCCUUUGCGUCCCAGAUUUUCUUCCAUGGUCUUACCUUCAUCGCCUUCACAAUUGCCCUUCAAGCCUCUCCAUAGUUGCCUUUAUGCUCUCUCUCCUCUACGCAGCACCGCUACUCAAGAGAUUGUUGAAACUGCUAAUAGUGGAGCAGGAUUCGUUGAAGUUGGGUAUAUAUCCAGUGUUCAUGGGCUUCAAGGGGAAAUUUGCGUUAAACCCAGUACUGAUUUUCCCGAACUACGAUUUUCCAAGCCUGGGAGAAGAUGGCUAAGGAAGUCGGUUUCUGGCAAAGAUAUGAUUGAAGAAGUUGAGCUGGUUGAGGGAAGAGGGCACCCUGGACGGAAGAGGUGGAUACUUAGAUUUGGGGGCAUUGACACAGUGGAACAGGCCAGGCAACUUGUUGGGUCAACUCUUCUAGUUAGAGAAGAAGACAGGCCAGAGUUGGAAGAAGGAGAAUUUUACACUCGGGAUCUCGUUGGCAUGAGAGUGAUUCUUAAGGAAACUGGUGACUGUGUGGGAACUGUCGUUAAUGUUUUUGACAGUGGAGCAAGUGACCUUUUACAGGUUAUGCUCUACCCAUCUGUAGAUGUGCUUGAGGGAGCUGAGAGGUCAAUGCAAGCAAAAACAGUUCUAUCUGGUUCCCUUGUGUGGGUACCAUUUGUUGAAGCUAUUGUUCCGGAUGUUGAUAUGACUAGAAGAGAAAUGUGGAUUACACCUCCAAAAGGACUUCUUGAGUUAAACAUACGCUCUGAUGAGAGGUCCAAGAAAGAAAGACGCCAGAUUGAGUGGAAAGAAAGGAAAAAGUUUCAAAGAUGCCUUAUAGAAGCUAAAACGAAAUUGUUUGAGAUGGAACAAAACAUGUGUUUGAUGGAUUAAGAUAUGGGGAAAAAUCACAAAGGAGCUUACUGGCAGAUCAGAUUGUUGGUGUAAAUUCUAAAUUGCUUCAACGGGCAUUGCAAAAUAUAGAGAUGCCCUCCAAGAGGUAUUUUUUAAAAUUUAAUAAAUGUGUAUUUCUUGACAUUUUGAUUCCUAGAGGAGUUGGAGAAAAUUUGAAUGCAGUUGUUUGACCUUUCGAUCUGAUGCUGUUUUGAACCUGUUGAAAUAAACUUGUUCUGUAAAGCAUUGAACUUGUAACCUUUGUCCGUGAUGUUGAAAUGUAGAAAAAAUAUGAUGCCCCUGGUUUCAAUAUGUUUUGCAUACAUAAAUGCUUUUUUUUGAAGUGGGAGCUUAAAAGAAAAAAAUAAAAACUUUUUCUUAAAAACAGCUGGUCUUAUUGUCUCACUUGUUCUACGGUGGAUAUGAAGAAUAUGGAAGGUGGUGAGAUCUUUUUUAUUUGAUCCCAUAUAGCUAAUGGUUACUUAUCUAUCCUUUUUGGUGGUUUGAGUGGUGGUGGGGGUGUGUUUUGUGGUUAAUCUCACAAUCAUUUGAUAUGUGCACCGAGGUGUGAUGAUGCUUAUCCACCAUUUCUGCUAUCGGAUGAUGAAUGUUAUACAUGCACUACCAUCUGAUCUCUGUUGCAUAUAUGCCUAAACACUUGAAUUGAAUAUUUUGUUUUAUUUCGUAAAAAAAAUUUUAGUUGAUAUUUGAUUCUUAUAUUGCAAUCUAUGAUGCAAAUUAUUUAUUAGUUCUGAUUUACUGUGAUGAUCAUAAAAAAUCACCAUCUUUCGGCUGAGAUUCCAAUUUUUAAUUUAAGAUUUGUCAUGUUUAGUUUGAGCAUUGUGAUCAUUUGCUUUGGCCUUUUUAACUAAUUUGCCCAUGGUAUCUAAUGUCCAGUCUUAUAAAUUCCCAUAGCUGGGCAUUUCGUUUAAAGGGCAGAAAAAAAUUGUAAACAGGUCUUGCGACACAGUUAGCUGGUCUUCCAUGAGCUUUCUGUUACUUUUUCCCUGCUUACAUUAUCCUGUUCAUAUAUAUUUUAAUCCUUGUUGAUAUUUUGCCUUCCUUUUGAUUGUUCUUGAACCAUUGGAAGAAAAUUGAAUCAUGGAUCUUACUCACAAUUCUGUCACCCAAUGCAAAUAUUAGAUUGUUAUACAUAAACUUGUAACGGUGAAACUGUUUAAGACUAAUAACAUUUUGUCAAAUACUUUUAUGAGAGACAAACUGGCGUAGACCAAAGGGUAUUGAUUCUAGAGUCCGAAGGAAGUUUAAGGGAUGUACUCUGAUGCCUAACAUUGGCUAUGGUUCGGACAAGAAGACUCGUCAUUAUCUUCCAAAUGGCUUCAAGAAAUUUGUUGUC
rnacentral:misc_RNA from 1 species